rnacentral:misc_RNA from 1 species
GCCAGAUCCUAAUAUAGUAGUAGAAUAUCUGCUUUAUCCUGCUUUAGUGUAUACAAUUAUUCAGGGCAUUUCGUGUACACUAAAUGCAAUCCUUGAUCAUUAAGAAAACUUAAUCCUAACCUCUCAUUUCAUUCAAGUGGGCAUCAAUUUAAUAUCAUGGAGGUGUAAUGCAAAAUUUCUCACUGCAAUUUAUCUUGUGUAGAGCAGACUGCUGAUAAACUUGAACCAGGCCCACAUUCAUGGAUAUCAUCACAUCCACACAAGAGCUU